rnacentral:rRNA from 1 species
CAGCAGCCGCGGGAAUACGAAGGGGGCUAGCGUUGUUCGGAUUUACUGGGCGUAAAGGGUGCGUAGGCGGACUGAUAAGUCAGGUGUGAAAGCCCCGGGCUUAACCUGGGAAUUGCAUUUCAUACUGGGUCGCUAGAGUACUUUAGGGAGGGGUAGAAUUCCACGUGUAGCGGUGAAAUGCGUAGAGAUGUGGAGGAAUACCGAAGGCGAAGGCAGCCCCUUGGGAAUGUACUGACGCUCAUGUGCGAAAGCGUGGGGAGCAAACAGGAUUAGAUACCCCUGUAGUCCCUGUCUCUUAUAC